GGGGGGGGGGGGCAAGCGUUGUUCGGAAUUACUGGGCGUAAAGGGCGCGUAGGCGGGGGUCCAGAAAAGUCUUUCGUGAAAUCCCACAGCUCAACUGUGGAACUGCGAAGGAAACUGCUGGACUUGAGUCCGGGAGAGGAGAGCGGAAUUCCCAGUGUAGCGGUGAAAUGCGUAGAUAUUGGGAGGAACACCGGUGGCGAAGGCGGCUCUCUGGACCGGUACUGACGCUGAGGCGCGAAAGCUAGGGGAGCAAACGGGAUUAGAUACCCCGGUAGUCCUAGCCUUAAACGAUGAGCACUUGGUGUGGCGGGUAUCGACCCCUGCCGUGCCGAAGCUAACGCAUUAAGUGCUCCGCCUGGGGAGUACGGUCGCAAAGGCUG
rnacentral:rRNA from 1 species